GUCGCUUCUAGGCCUUUUGGCUAAGAUCAAGAGGUAGUAUCUUUUCUUAUCAGUUUAAUAUCUAGUAUGUCCUCCAGGUGAGGACAGCAUAUUAAGUGGAAUUUUGAACUGUGGGGGUGAAAGUGGAGCUCCAUGCAGUAUUACGUGGCUUCUGACAACUGUGCCCAUU
rnacentral:snRNA from 1 species